rnacentral:rRNA from 1 species
UGGGGAAUAUUGCACAAUGGGCGCAAGCCUGAUGCAGCCAUGCCGCGUGUGUGAAGAAGGCCUUCGGGUUGUAAAGCACUUUCAGCGAGGAGGAAGGUGGUGAGCUUAAUACGCUCAUCAAUUGACGUUACUCGCAGAAGAAGCACCGGCUAACUCCGUGCCAGCAGCCGCGGUAAUACGGAGGGUGCAAGCGUUAAUCGGAAUUACUGGGCGUAAAGCGCACGCAGGCGGUUUGUUAAGUCAGAUGUGAAAUCCCCGGGCUCAACCUGGGAACUGCAUUUGAAACUGGCAAGCUAGAGUCUCGUAGAGGGGGGUAGAAUUCCAGGUGUAGCGGUGAAAUGCGUAGAGAUCUGGAGGAAUACCGGUGGCGAAGGCGGCCCCCUGGACGAAGACUGACGCUCAGGUGCGAAAAGCGUGGGGAGCAAAACAGGAUUAGAUACCCUGGUAGUCCACGCUGUAAAACGAUGUCGAUUUUGGAGGUUGUGCCCUUGAGGCGUGGCUUCCGGAGCUAACGCGUUAAAUCGACCGCCUGGGGAGUACGGCCGCAAGGUUAAAACUCAAAGGAAUUGACGGGGUCUAGCUG